rnacentral:ncRNA from 1 species
UUCACUGGGGGAGCCGAAUUUCGGCUGAGAGGCGUUUGCUGACCCUUGGAACCUGUUGGGGUAAUACCUGCGUAGGGAAGUGGAAC